GGUUCUUAAGGCUCUGAAGGUCAGGCAGCCACAGGUUUUUACAACUGGUUUAUAAUGGCUUAGAAAGUAAUUUAGUCAUUCACAAUCAAGAAAUCAUAAUUCUCAGAAAGUGCUUGCUAUUGAUUUUAUGACAGGAACUUGAGGCCCGGUAGAGAUCUGAACGUGGACUGCAUUUGGCCCACGGGCUGGACUUUGAACACGCCUGAUUUGAAGGAUAUCUAACCUAAAGAAGUAAAUUUUCACACCUAUGGUUGUUUCACAGAACUUUUCAUCAGCCACCUCGUUGGCGAUGUUUGCCCCCAUGAGCACGGUCAUGGUGAUGCCGAGAUUCCCCCGGAUGACCUCAGAGAUGAGCUUCAGACCUUCAGGACCUGCAUCCACACCCUGUGGGAAACAAACUCAGAGAAAGAAAGCCAGACGUGAUCCAAGGAGGAGACAGAGAGACCAUACAAGGACAUGAAGACGCUCAAAGAGAUGAUGGAGUGUGAAAGAAAGGAAUGAGAUAAUAUCAGAAGCUGGACUAGAGAAACUAGGAGGCUGCUGUUAUAAAGUCCUUCUAAAGUUCAAGAAUACUCAAGUUGUUUCUGACAGACGAGAGCUGGUAGUAAUCACACAAUAAUUAAAAUGAAAACCAUCAAAAAUGGGACAAAAAUAAAAAUCAGGCAAACCUAACAACAAAAUAAAAGUUCUCAGAUUUUACACAGAUUACAAAACUAUCUGGAUUAGCUUCAGUAAUCUCUCAAGAUUUAUGAUGACAAAAGAACAGAAUGUAGAUUCAUGUAUGUAAAAGUCUGGUUUACCUGGUGCAGAUAUUUGUCACAGUUUAUGAACUCUCGCUCAUGUGGGUCCUGGAGUUUGUGGGUCUUGACAUACUGCCACAGAGCCUGGAUGAUGACCGGUCUGGUCUGUGUAUGAAUACCCAGCAUCCGGGCCAGUCGAGGGUCCAGCUUAAACUGGGGGGGCUGCAGGACGCAGAGGACGGUCAGCAAAAACAAAGAAACUGCAAAGAGACCCGUCACGACUGAGCGCAGCUCCUUACCUGGUAAUCGAGCAUGAGCAGGACGGUGCAGCGAACGCUCACAUCACCGGGCCUCUUCACCUGGAAACCAUCGGUCUCCUGGGUGGUAGCAGUCCUAUGCCACUGAAUGGGAAAACAAAAAUAUGUAGUUUAGGAUGGUUUGAACGUUAACUGUCCUUAAAGAAAAAAAAAA